rfam:Stegodyphus mimosarum contig85906, whole genome shotgun sequence.
GCCUUCUUGGUGUAGUGGUCAGCACGCUCCGCGCGAAUUCGAGAGGCCCGUGGUUCGAGUCUCGGUGAGGGCA